rnacentral:tRNA from 2 species
GUGGGUGUAGCUCAGUCGGUUAGAGCGCCUGGUUGUGGCCCAGGAGGUCGGGGGUUCAAAUCCCCUCACUCACCCCA